CCUACGGGAGGCAGCAGUGGGGAAUAUUGCACAAUGGGGGAAACCCUGAUGCAGCGACGCCGCGUGAGCGAUGAAGUAUUUCGGUAUGGAAAGCCCUAUCAGCAGGGAAGAAAAUGACGGUACCUGACUAAGAAGCCCCGGCUAACUACGUGCCAGCAGCCGCGGUAAUACGUAGGGGGCAAGCGGUAACCGGAUUUACGGGGUGUAAAGGGGGCGUAGACGGCUGUGCAAGCCAGAUGUGAAAGGCCGGGGCUCAACCCCGGGACUGCAUUUGGAACUGGGUGGCUGGAGUGUCGGAGAGGCAUGCGGAAUGCCUAGUGUAGCGGUGAAAUGCGUAGAUAUUAGGAGGAACACCAGUGGCGAAGGCAGCCUGCUGGACGAUGACUGACGCUGAGGCUCGAAAGCGUGGGGAGCGAACAGGAUUAGAUACCCCUGUAGUC
rnacentral:rRNA from 1 species